rnacentral:rRNA from 1 species
UACGUAGGGUGCAAGCGUUGUCCGGAAUUAUUGGGCGUAAAGAGCUCGUAGGCGGUUUGGUAAGUCGGGUGUGAAAACUCUGGGCUCAACUCAGAGACGCCACCCGAUACUGCUAUGACUUGAGUCCGGUAGGGGAGUAUGGAAUUUCCGGUGUAGCGGUGAAAUGCGCAGAUAUCGGAAGGAACACCAGUAGCGAAGGCGGUACUCUGGGCCGGAACUGACGCUGAGGAGCGAAAGCGUGGGGAGCGAACAGG